CUUUAUUGGAGAGUUUGAUCCUGGCUCAGGAUGAACGCUGGCGGCGUGCCUAAUACAUGCAAGUCGAGCGAAUGGAUUGAGAGCUUGCUCUCAAGAAGUUAGCGGCGGACGGGUGAGUAACACGUGGGUAACCUGCCCAUAAGACUGGGAUAACUCCGGGAAACCGG
rnacentral:rRNA from 1 species